rnacentral:rRNA from 1 species
AUACGGAGGACGCGAGCGUUAUCCGGAUUUAUUGGGUUUAAAGGGUGCGCAGGCGGGAGAUUAAGUCGGCGGGGGAAUUUUUCAGCUCAACCGGAAAAGUGCCUUCGAAACUGGGUUCCUUGAGUGUAGAUGAAGUAGGCGGAAUUUGGGGGGUAGCGGUGGAAUGCAUAGAUAUCACGAGGAACUCCGAUUGCGCAGGCAGCUUACUAAACUACUACUGACGCUCAGGCACGAAGGCGUGGGGAUCAAACAGGAUUAGAUACCCUGGUAGUCCACGCAGUAAACGAUGAUUACUAGCUGUUUGCGAUACAAUGUAAGCGGCUGAGCGAAAGCGUUAAGUAAUCCACCUGGGGAGUACGUUCGCAAGAAUGAAACUCAAAUGAAUGGACGGGG